AUGCCUCAGCUAGCUCGUCGGGAUCCCAUGCCUCAGCCGGCUCGUCGGGCUCCCAUGCCGGCUCGACAGGUUCCCGCGGCUACAGGUUCCCACUCCUCAGCUGGCUCUACAGGUUCCCGCGCCUCAGCUGGCUCUGCAGGUUCCCGUGCCUCAGCUGGCUCUACAGGUUCCCGUGCCUCAGUUGGCUCUGCAGAUUCCCGCGCCUCAGCAGAAGAGAUCGGCCCGCUGCUGGUCCUUGGUACCGUCCCUCUGGUCGUUGUCCUGCGGCUGGAGCCGCAGGUCAGGGAGGAGGUACUGUCACGUAUACUCCUUCUCCCCCUCUCUGCCGCUCGUUGUCUCCAGUUUACUCAUUACUAUGCACAACUGUCAUCGUUAUGCUCACCUGGCCUGAUGAGACUCACCUGGACUCCAUCACCUUCCUGAUUACCUCCCGUAUAUCUGUCACUCCCUUUGGUUCUUUCCCCAGGAGUUAUUGACUCCAUGUUUCAUGUCUGUACCCUACUCGUGUUUCUUGUUUUGUUCCAUUUUCAUUUAUUUAUUAAAUUCACUCCCUGUACUUGCUUCCCGAUUUAUUAGCGUUCACAUUAGUAUAAAAUAUUUUUUUAUUCGUUUAACACUUUUUUUGGUUACCACAUGAUUACAUGACUACAUGAUAUGUGUUAUUUCAUAGUUUUGAUGUCUUCACUAUUAUUCUACAAUAUAGAAAAUAGUCCAAAUAAAGAAAAACCCUUGAAUGAGUAGGUGUGUCCAAACUUUUGACUGGUACUGUGUAUGAUAACGAUUAGUGUAUCAAGAGGCUGGACAGGCUUGGAGACGAGUGUACAUUAAAUGUUCACAAUAUUUUUACCUAAUGAUAAAAAUAGGUUUUUUUUAUGUACCUUGUGUUCAAAAAUACUGCUCUAUCGAUCGAUAUGACAUCAUGUAAAUUGUAAAUAGCUCAGUCAGUCAUCUGUCCUGUUCAGUUAGAUCUCCAGGUUUUAGCCUGUAGAUCUAAGUCUCUCCUCUCCACCACCACAUUCAUUCUUCUCUUUUUCGAUCAAGGGAAAACCACUUUAAAAUUAAUAGUUGCAAAAAAAAAUGUAAAAUGACAAUUUACUGUUGAUUUCAGGUGGGUAGAGGACAGGGAGAAUCCAAACGUCCAGCAUUCUAUGACCAAUCAAUUGUGGAGAAAGAGAAACACAAGCACAAAAUCCCAUUUCUCAUCAGCCCAGCUCUAUGCACUUUUAAAAUUGGGUUUUAAGCAUUAUUAGUCUACGUUCCAUAAAAACUCCAUCUUUUGGACUGCAGAAAUGUGCACUCUGGGCUUGAUUAGCCAUGUAGUGGAGUGCACUACCGAACCACUAGAUUUCAGAUGAUUGGCUCAAACUUCAACAAUGAUGUAUUUUAUUUCCAGAGUUUGAAGGAGUACUGACUGUGAUAUUAGGGACUUAAGUCUAGUCCCCUGAGUAGUCUCCACUUCUCAUCCGUAGCCCUCUACCGUGGAACCCUACCUUACAAACUAGCCUGUGCCAUUGAAAUGCCAACUCUCCCAAAUCAGCUAGAUUAAUACUGGUAUAAACCUUCUAAUGAUCUAUUAGUAUUACUAGGGCAACACAACAUGAAGCCUCUUCCAUAGAAAUAGGGAAUGCAAUGUCAUUUCAUUUGGCUAUCAAUUCUAAAUCUUGGGUAUGUUUCUGGUAGCAUCCCAGCUCUGUUCCACCUUCAUUAAGUUGUUAGAGAAUAUAGGAGAGUCAGAGAGAGAAAUGUGGUGAUGAUGUCUCUGUAGCCACACAAACUCAUUAUACAUACAGUACAGUUAGAGCCAGUGAGAAAAAUACUAUAAACUAAAUAUACAUCUAUAAAUAAAGUGAAAGAUGUUGUAUGUUUUCUAAUAUCUUAGAAAAUACUUUUGUAAGUAUGUUGAAAGUGAAGUAUUUGCUGGAUUCUGCUUCCUUGGACAACAGUGGUGAAAACAAUAAUGUACAGAGGAAUUUGUGUUGAUGAUAUAUUCAAAACAAUGUGGCUGUGCAAUUUAUGUACAUUUGCAACUAGACUUAUUAAAGUUUUAUUUAGCUAUUUUAAGCCUCUGCCUUGUGUGUUCUUUGGUUACUGUGGUAAACAUAUUUUCCAAAAAAUACUUCUCAAAUGUGUAUGUACAGUUGAAGUCGGAAGUUUACAUACACCUUAGUCAAAUACAUUCUCAGUUUUUCACAAUUCCUGACAUUUUUUCAGAGUAAAAAUUCCCUGUCUUAGGUCAGUUAGGAUCACCACUUUAUUUUAAGAAUGUGAAAUGUCCGAAUAUUAGUAGAGAGAAUUAUUUAUUUCAGCUUUUAUUUCUUUCAUCAAAUUCCCAGUGGGUCAGAAGUUUACAGACACUCAAUUAGUAUUUGGUAGCAUUGCCUUUAAAUUGUUUAACUUGGGUCAAAUGUUUCGGGUAGCCUUCCACAAGCUUCCUACAAUAAGUUGGGUGAAUUUUGGGCCAUUCCUCCUGACAGAGCUGGUGCAACUGAGUCAGGUUUGUAGGCCUCCUUGCUCGCAAACACUUUUUCAGUUCUGCCCACAAAUUUUCUAUGGGAUCAGGGCUUUGUGAUGGCCACUCCAAUACCUUGACUUUGUUGUCCUUAAGCCAUUUUGCCACAACUUUGGAAGUAUGCUUAGGGUCAUUGUCCAUUUGGAAGACCCAUUUGCGACCAAGCUUUAACUUUAACUUUUAACUUAACUGAUGUCUUGAGAUGUUGCUUCAUAAUUUUCCUGCCUCAUGAUGCCAUCUAUUUUGUGAAGUGCAUCAGUCCCUCCUGCAGCAAAGCAGGGAUGGUUGGGAUGGUGUUCUUCAGCUUGCAAGCAUCCCCCUUUUUCCUCCAAACAUAACGAUGGUCAUUAUGGCCAGUUAUUUUUUUGUUUCAUCAGACCAGAGGACAUUUCUCCAAAAAGUAUGAUCUUCGUCCCCAUGUGCAGUUGCAAACCGUAGUCUGGCUUUUUUAUGACGGAUAUAGAUACUUUUGCACCGGUGUCCUCCAGCAUCUUCACAAGGUCCUUUGCUGUUGUUCUGGGAUUGAUUUGCACUUUUCACACCAAAGUACAUGUCUAGGAGACAGAACGCGUCUCCUCCCUGAGUGGUAUGACGGCUGCGUGGUCCCAUGGUGUUUAAACUUGCGUACUAUUGUUUGUACAGAUGAACGUGGUACCUUCAGGCUUUUGGUAAUUGCUCCCAAGGAUGAACCAGACUUGUGGAGCUCUACAAUUUAUUUUCUGAGGUCUUGGCUGAUUUCUUUUGAUUUUCCCAUGAUGUCAAGCAAAGAGGCACUGAGUUUGAAGGUAGGCCUUGAAAUACAUCCACAGGUACACCUCCAAUUGACUCAAAUUAUGUCAAUUAGCCUAUCAGAAGCUUCUAAAGCCAUGACAUCAUUUUAUGGAAUAUUCCAAGCUGUUUAAAGGCACAGUCAACUUAGUGUAUGUAAACUUCUGAACCACUGGAAUUGUGAUACAGUGAAUUAUAAGUGAAAUAAUCUGUCUGUAAACAAUUGUUGGAAAAAUGACUUGUGUCAUGCACAAAGUAGAUGUCCUAACCGACUUGCCAAAACUACAGUUUGUUAACAAGAAAUGUGGAGUGGUUGAAAAACAGGUUUUAAUGACUCCAACCUAAGUGUAUGUAAACUUCGGACAUCAACUGUAUAUGCAUUUUUCAAGUUACACAUCGGACACAAAACCUUAACAUAUUUCCAGCGUCAACCUAUAAUACAACCGUGACCCAUCAGUGGUUUCAGACCUAUCAUUUGGUAAACAGUUUCAGAUGAUUGACAGGUGGUAAAUCAGAUACAUCUUGGCCUAUAAUGGGAAAAUGAACACAUUUUCAAAGCUGCUCAGUCUAG
rnacentral:lncRNA from 13 species